rnacentral:lncRNA from 1 species
UCUCCACUACCUUGAGCGAGUCCUGAAAUAACAGAGCUACUAAACCCAGGACGCCUUCCGGGGGCGCGUGGAUGCUUACGAGCAACAGCUUUUGAAACGAGGGAGUUGAUUGUUUCUGCACGGAGCGCGUCGCGUUGGAGGCGGAGGUCGAAGAGUCUCUCCGGUGUUUCUUCCGAUGACAAAGCGUCUAAAUGGUGCAACUCCAACUGCAACCCCAGCGAAGUGUUGGAAUUAACUGUGUCCAAAUCGGAAGUUUCAACGAGAGAGUUGAAAGGAAGGUCGGAAUCUUGCCAUGAUAGAACUGGCGCCGACGGGAGAGGGCGGAGAAGUAGGGAAUGGAGCUGGAAAGGGGAGGAAACAGCAGCAGAAAGAGAAAAGAAGAGGAGAAUAACGAAGGAAGAAAAGAGAAGGGUGGUCUUUGAUUUUU